UAGGGAAUCUUCGGCAAUGGACGAAAGUCUGACCGAGCAACGCCGCGUGAGUGAAGAAGGUUUUCGGAUCGUAAAACUCUGUUGUUAGAGAAGAACAAGGACGUUAGUAACUGAACGUCCCCUGACGGUAUCUAACCAGAAAGCCACGGCUAACUACGUGCCAGCAGCCGCGGUAAUACGUAGGUGGCAAGCGUUGUCCGGAUUUAUUGGGCGUAAAGCGAGCGCAGGCGGUUUCUUAAGUCUGAUGUGAAAGCCCCCGGCUCAACCGGGGAGGGUCAUUGGAAACUGGGGGACUUGAGUGCAGAAGAGGAGGGUGGACUUCCAUGUGUAGCGGUGAAAUGCGUAGAUAUAUGGAGGAACACCAGUGGCGAAGGCGGCUCUCUGGUCUGUAACUGACGCUGAGGCUCGAAAGCGUGGGGAGCAAACAGG
rnacentral:rRNA from 1 species